AUGGUUGUCGUCAGCUCGUGCCGUGAGGUGUCGGCUUAAGUGCCAUAACGAGCGCAACCCUUAUCGAUAGUUACCAUCAGGUUAUGCUGGGGACUCUGUCGAGACUGCCGUCGUAAGAUGUGAGGAAGGUGGGGAUGACGUCAAAUCAGCACGGCCCUUACGUCCGGGGCUACACACGUGUUACAAUGGGGGGUACAGAAGGCAGCUACACGGCGACGUGAUGCUGAUCCCGAAAGCCUCUCUCAGUUCGGAUUGGAGUCUGCAACCCGACUCCAUGAAGCUGGAUUCGCUAGUAAUCGCGCAUCAGCCACGGCGCGGUGAAUACGUUCCCGGGCCUUGUACACACCGCCCGUCAAGCCAUGAAAGCCGGGGGUACCUGAAGUGCGUAACCGCAAGGAGCGCCCUAGGGUAAAACUGGUGAUUGGGGCUAAGCCGUAACAAGGUAGCCGUACCGGAAGGUGCGGCUGGAUCACCUC
rnacentral:rRNA from 1 species